CAGCAGGACAAUAUAUUAAAAGGGGAGACAGUUGGUCCCCCUCUCCAACAGCAGAGAGUGUUCCAGGGAGAGGAACCAGUUAUCACCUCUCCCCAGCAACAGGACAAAUUAUUGAAAGGGGAGACAGUCGGUCUCCCCCUUCAACAGCAGAGAGAGUGUCAGGGAGAGGAGCUUGUUAUCCCCUCUCCCCAGCGGCAGCUUAGCCCACCAAGGGGAGACAGUAAUCUCCACAACAGUGCAGAUGGGACAGUGGUCUCUGCACAUGCACCACCGGGGGUAGGGACAGUCGGUCCUGUCCCCCAGCAGCAGGACUGUUUAGGCAAAGGGGAGACAGUCUGUCUCCCCCUCCAGCAACC